AUGGGACACAUUGAGGCAAAAGUCAGGCUUGAUAAGCAAACUCCUUAUAGAAACAGACAUGGUUAUCCGUCUCAAAAUGUAAUGGCAGUAGUGUCAUUUGACAUGACAUUCACUUAUGUCGCUGCUGGAUGGGAGGGUUCUGCAGAGGAUCAAGCUGUUCUAAGAUGGGCUGUGACUAGUGGGGGUUUAGUUGUUCCUGAAGGUAAAUUUUACCUUGUUGAUUCAGCUACGCAAAUACUCCAAGAUUUAUUGCCCCGUAUCGUGGAGAUCGCUAUCAUAUUGCUUCUUUUCGUGGAAGUAAUCGGCGAUAUACUAGUGAGAAGGACUUGUUCAACCAUCUACAUGCACAGUUGCGGAAUGUUGUUGAACGAACUUUUGGUGUUCUAA
rnacentral:rRNA from 1 species